rnacentral:rRNA from 1 species
AUGCACUUACCAAGGGAUAUGCGCAACUGGGAGGAGUGGUCUUUUUUUGAAGAAGUAGAAGAAUUUGCUGUCGAUGAAGGGAGAGAGGAUGGAGCUGUUGAGACUCGUCCAGAGGAUGCCCAAUCUGCAAGGUUGUCACUGCUGCCUCGUUUGGUGCUGUUGAGACUCGAAAAUUGCCCGAAGCUGAGGACUCUCCCGCGGCAGCUUGGAGAGGACACCACCAACUUGAAGAUGCUCAAAUUAAUUGGAGCAAACAACUUGAAGGCUGUCGAAGAUUUCCCACACCUCGCCGACCUCCUCCUUAUUGAGAAAUGUGAAGGCAUGGAGAGGAUCUCCAACCUCCCUCAAGUGACGAAACUGCAUGUCCAUGGUUGUCCAAACUUAAGCCAUGUAGAGGGGCUGGGAAGUUUGCAACAGCUAUGGCUGGGUGAGGAUAUGCAAGAGGUCUCUUCCCGCUGGGUGCCUGGGCUUCAAGAGCACCACCAGCGACUUCAUGGGGAAGCCCUGGAUGUCUACACGUUGUCUACCAGUUAG